GCCGGGGUGACAGAGCGGUAAUGUGCCGGCCUCGAGAGCCGGUGGUGCUUUGCGCCACAAGGGUUCAAAGGGAGGUUUCAACCCUCCUGAAAAUCCCUUCCCCGGCGCCA
rnacentral:tRNA from 1 species